GCCGACAUAGCUCAGUUGGUAGAGCAGCUGAUUUGUAAUCAGCGGGUCGGGAGUUCAAGUCUCUCUGUCGGCACCA
rnacentral:tRNA from 1 species